rnacentral:lncRNA from 1 species
UUCAACAUUAUUUUCUUUGUAUAAACUCUCUCUCUAUUCUAGAGAGUUCCAAACGCUCUGCCUUCUCUCUACUUUCUCUCUCUACAUUUUCCAUGAUUUCUCGGUCUAAUAUCAAUGUUUACAUGGUAUCAGAGCCCAGAUGACGAUCCGAUUAUGUUUCUCUACAUCUCGAUGCCUUGGCUGAACUCUUUUUGAGAUUUUUUUUGGGAUUUUUCUGAGACCUUAUGGUCGAUGAUGCUUCUGACCUAGAUCAGAUGCUUUUCCGAGUUUUUCUUCAUGACAUUUGAGUGUAUUUUCUUCACCCGAACAUUCUGAGAGUUUUUCUGCUGAUUUCGGGUGGUUUCUCGGUGACCUAUCGGCUUCUAGGGUUUCUGGUGGUUUAACCUAGCGUUCUACUGCUUUCCAGUGGCUCGAUUCUCACUCAGUGGACGUUUUGGGUGCCUCUCCGACAUUACUGACCACAUUUCCAGUAAGGAUUUCGAAGGUUACACCUAGG